rnacentral:rRNA from 1 species
UGGGCAACCUGCCCCUCUCUCUGGGAUAACCCCGGGGAAACCGGAGCUAAUACCGGAUACUCCGGCUGGAUCGCAUGGUCCGGCCGGGAAAGGUCCGCCGGAGAGGGAUGGGCCCGCGGCCUAUCAGCUUGUUGGUGGGGUAACGGCCUACCAAGGCGACGACGGGUAGCCGGCCUGAGAGGGCGAUCGGCCACACUGGGACUGAGACACGGCCCAGACUCCUACGGGAGGCA